UGACCAUAUAGUGCUGAAACACUGAUUCCCAUUUGAUCACCAAAGUUAAGCAACAUUGAGCUUGGUCAGUGCCUAGGUGGAUGACUGCAUGGAAAUACCAGAUG